AUUCCUACGGGAGGCAGCAGUGGGGAAUAUUGGACAAUGGACCAAAAGUCUGAUCCAGCAAUUCUGUGUGCACGAUGAAGGUCUUCGGAUUGUAAAGUGCUUUCAGUUGGGAAGAAGAAAGUGACGGUACCAACAGAAGAAGCGACGGCUAAAUACGUGCCAGCAGCCGCGGUAAUAAU
rnacentral:rRNA from 1 species